rfam:Streptomyces avermitilis MA-4680 = NBRC 14893 DNA, complete genome.
CCCGUCCGGCCCGUGGACGCCCCUGACCGUACGGCCCUGCCCCGGGCUACCCUGGCCGGGUGCGCCUUCCAUGGGAAGCGCAAAGCCGACAGCCGUCGCACUCCAGGGAGCAUCUUCCAUG